CAGCCGCCGCGGUAAUACGGAGGGUGCGAGCGUUAAUCGGAAUAACUGGGCGUAAAGGGCACGCAGGCGGUGACUUAAGUGAGGUGUGAAAGCCCCGGGCUUAACCUGGGAAUUGCAUUUCAUACUGGGUCGCUAGAGUACUUUAGGGAGGGGUAGAAUUCCACGUGUAGCGGUGAAAUGCGUAGAGAUGUGGAGGAAUACCGAAGGCGAAGGCAGCCCCUUGGGAAUGUAUUGACGCUCAUGUGCGAAAGCGUGGGGAGCAAACAGGAUUAGAUACCCCUGUAGUCCCUGUCUCUUAUAC
rnacentral:rRNA from 1 species